CGGGGCGGGAGGGGCCGCGAGCUGCACCGGAACCGGGAACGAGACCGGAACCGGGAACGAGACCGGCACCGGAACCGGCCCCGCAGGGACGAGCUGGCCGUGCCGUGCCGAGCUCCGGGACCGGAACUAGGAUCGGGACCGCGAUAGGCCCCCCCAAGGACGUGCGGGCUGAGCUAAGGCUCGGUACCGGGUCAUUCCUCCUGGAUCAUGUCACUCAUUCCUUCAUUCUCCUGAAAUGUUCAAGGAGUGACUGGACUGGACGUGGCACUGCUCCGGUCUGGUUGACAAGGGCCACCCAGGGUCACUCACUUGGCAGCCUGAGGGACAGUUCUCGUGUGCUGGGGGUGCCACAGCCCCCUGGGAAGAGGAAUCCCAGUGCUGGGCUCAGCAGGAAGGAGCGGCUCAGGAGCGCGUGUCCGGCUCUGGUGUUAAAUAACAGCAGGAGGAAGCGAGCUGAAAGGACACUGACUUCGGGGACAGAGCUCCUGACCCUCCACUCCCUGCUCUGGCACUGCUUCCUGGCUCACUCUGGAGAUGGCAUGUGUGUCAGCAACCUGUGGGUGACCAAACUCACCUCAAUCCUUCAGCAGCUGUCCUGUGCGGGAAGGAACCAUCAUGCCAACCCUAAAGACACAAUUUCCUGGGCUGUGCAGCUGUGGGUGCAGCUCCCUGCUGAUUCAGCCCCUCGCAGGAUGGAGGGAUGGGAAUCUAUUUUUAAUAGAUGAGAUAAUUUAUGGCUGGUACAGGGUAAACCCUGAGUGACCAGUCAGGUGCCAACAUCGCAGAGGCCAAGAGAGUAAUAAUUUAGAAGUACUUUGAUUAGAAAAAAACCUUUACUUUAGGCUUGGCUCAUGUUUUAAUUAAUGUCAUCUAUUAACAUUUUGAAGAGAAAUGGGUUUGGCAAACCAAGCAGCCAUUUGGGAAGACAGUGAGGAGUACAGCUGCUGUACUGCAGCAGGAAUCUCCCUAGCUCUGUACAGACUCACUAUUACUAAAUAAAGCUACUUUCAAGCCAUCCUUGUAUUUCUUU
rnacentral:lncRNA from 1 species